GAUACAACUCUUCGACAGCUCAAAGCAAAAUGUCAAUCAUUUAACUCAAGUAUCACAUUAAACGGGAAGCAAGAUUAUGUGAACACUUCCACCUAGUUUUGGAGAGGUCAUGGGUGAUGGCAGAAGAAUAUCAACAAAUGGAGAACAAGAAAGAGGUAAGAGAGUAUUCAUUUUAACACCAGUAUCCAUUCUAAAACCCAAAUAUUCUUAUCCACAAAAGCUCAAAUUUAACUAUGCCUUGAUUGGGUCACCACAUUCCACACCCAUAAUAGGUUUUGAAGAUAUAAGUUAUUCUGAACACAAUCUCAAGCAGAUAACCGAUAUUAGUAUCCAGCCAGGUAGUAGGUGAUGAUGCCGAACAUAUAAAAGAAUCACCAUCUAAUCAAAAUGAAACAUGAUUUCGCUUAUAGGUUAUUCAGAACACAAUCCCAAGCAGAUAACCGAUAUUAGUAUCCAGCCAGGUAGUAGGUGAUGAUGCCGAAAAUAUAAAAGAAUCACCAUCUAACCAAAAUGAAACAUGAUUUCGCGAUCCUAAUCAGAUAUUUUAUAGUGUUUGCAGUGUAGAUCACUUUAAUUAAUUAAAAGCAAAUGUUUU
rnacentral:lncRNA from 1 species